GUGGGGAAUAUUGGACAAUGGGCGAAAGCCUGAUCCAGCCAUGCCGCGUGUGUGAAGAAGGUCUUCGGAUUGUAAAGCACUUUAAGUUGGGAGGAAGGGCAGUAAGUUAAUACCUUGCUGUUUUGACGUUACCGACAGAAUAAGCACCGGCUAACUUCGUGCCAGCAGCCGCGGUAAUACGAAGGGUGCAAGCGUUAAUCGGAAUUACUGGGCGUAAAGCGCGCGUAGGUGGUUUUGUAAGUUGGAGGUGAAAUCCCCGGGCUCAACCUGGGAACUGCCUCCAAAACUGCAUGACUAGAGUACGGUAGAGGGUAGUGGAAUGUCCUGUGUAGCGGUGAAAUGCGUAGAUAUAGGAAGGAACACCAGUGGCGAAGGCGACUACCUGGACUGAUACUGACACUGAGGUGCGAAAGCGUGGGGAGCAAACAGGAUUAGAUACCCUAGUAGUCC
rnacentral:rRNA from 1 species